rnacentral:rRNA from 1 species
GACGAACCGUCCGAACGUUAUUCGGAAUCACUGGGCUUAAAGGGUGCGUAGGCGGCACGGAAAGUUGGGUGUGAAAUCCCUCGGCUCAACCGAGGAACUGCGCCCAAAACUACCGUGCUCGAGGGAGAUAGAGGUGAGCGGAACUUAGGGUGGAGCGGUGAAAUGCGUUGAUAUCCUAAGGAACACCGGUGGCGAAGGCGGGUUGCUGGGCUGACACUGACGCUGAGGCGCGAAAGCCAGGGGAGCGAACGGG